rnacentral:rRNA from 1 species
AUGUGUGCUAGGCACAUCUAUGCAAAUUGGAGAAAGCAACAUAGGGAGAAGAUAUAUCAGAAAAUAUUUUGGGCAUGUGCAAAAGCUUCUGACAGAACCGGGUUCAACUAUCAUAGAGCAAAGCUUGCUCAAAAAACAGAAGAAGGGGCAAAAGAUGUAAUGAAAACCAAUCCUGAACAUUGGAGCAGGGCUUUUUUCAAACUUGGCUCAUAUUGUGAUUCUGUAGAAAACAAUAUGUGUGAGUCCUUCAACAACUCCAUCAUGAGAGAAAGAUUUUAUCCUGUUAUUACUAGUCAUGAGAUCAUAAGAAAAAAUGUCAUGGCUAGAAUU